rnacentral:rRNA from 1 species
UUACAACAGAUAUAAUUUACUAGUUCUUUAACCUAUAUGGAUAACUGCGGUAAUUCUGGAGCCAAUACAUGCAUCAAUCCUCAGCCUUCGGGUUUGGGGUGCAGUUAUUGGAGCAAAACCAGUCUCGUACUGUUUGCUAACUCAGAAUAAUUCUGCAUAUCGCAUGGUCUUGUACCGGCGAAGUUUCUUUCAAGUAUCUGCUUUAUCAACUAUCGUUGGUAGUUUAUUGGGCUACCAUGGUGUUGACGGGUAACGGAGAAUCAGGGUUUGACUCCGGAGAGGGAGCCUUAGAAACGGCUACCAUGUCUAAGGAUAGCAGCAGGCGCGAAAAUUACCCAAUAUCAAAACGAUGAGGUAGUGACGAGAAAUAACGAGAUCGUUCUCUUUGAGAUCGAUUAUUGGAAUGAGUACAAUCCAGAAAUUUUAACGAGUACCUACGAGAGGGCAAGUCUGGUGCCAGCAGCCGCGGUAAUUCCAGCUCUCGUAAUGUAUAGAAUUAUUGUUGCGAUUAAAAAGUUCGUAGUUGGAUUGCAACGCAGGCAUGGGUCCAUCUUCGUGAUGCGUACUCAAUGUUUGCAUUUUGUAGGUUUUUGCGGCGUUGAUUCGUCAGCGUCCGUGAUGCCUGCAGGAUUACUUUGAACGGCUCAAGUGCUUAAAGCAAGUCUUAUGACUGAAUACCGGUGCAUGGAAUAAUGGAACAAGGUUGUGGCUGAGUUUUAUUGGUUUUGUCGGCUGAAACAAUGGUUAACAGGAACAGCCGGGGGCAUUCGUAUCGCUGCGCGAGAGGUGAAAUUCGUGGACCGUA